GGCUGGUCUGAAGGUAGUCAGUUAUCUCAGUUGAUUAUUCACAGUCAGUUAUAGACUGAACGCCUUGUUCUACUCUUUCCCUUCUCACUACUGCACUUGACUAGUCUUAA
rnacentral:Y_RNA from 1 species